rnacentral:misc_RNA from 1 species
GAAAUGCGAUAAGUAAUGUGAAUUGCAGAAUUCAGUGAAUCAUCGAAUCUUUGAACGCACCUUGCGCUCCUUGGUAUUCCUUGGAGCAUGCCUGUUUGAGUAUCAUGAAAUCUUCAAAGUAAAUCUUUUGUUAACUCAAUUGGUUUCUACUUUGGUAUUGGAGGUCUUUGCAGCUUCACACCUGCUCCUCUUUGUUCAUUAGCUGGAUCUCAGUGUUAUGCUUGGUUCCACUCGGCGUGAUAAGUUAUCUAUCGCUGAGGACACUGUAAAAGGUGGCCAAGGUAAAUGCAGAUGAACCGCUUCUAAUAGUCCAUUGACUUUGCCAAUACUUUUAUGAUCUGAUCUCAAAUCAGGUAGGACUACCCGCUGAACUUAAGC